GCAAGUCGAACGAUGAAGACCGUGCUUGCACGGUCGGAUUAGUGGCGAACGGGUGAGUAUCACGUGAGUAACCUUCCCUUGACUCUGGGAUAAGCCCGGGAAACUGGGUCUAAUACCGGAUACGACCAGUCCUCGCAUGGGGUGCUGGUGGAAAGAUUUAUCGGUCUUGGAUGGACUCGCGGCCUAUCAGCUUGUUGGUGAGGUAAUGGCUCACCAAGGCGAUGACGGGUAGCCGGCCUGAGAGGGUGACCGGCCACACUGGGACUGAGACACGGCCCAGACUCCUACGGGAGGCAGCAGUGGGGAAUAUUGCACAAUGGGCGAAAGCCUGAUGCAGCGACGCCGCGUGCGGGAUGACGGCCUUCGGGUUGUAAACCGCUUUCAGCAGGGAAGAAGCGAGAGUGACGGUACCUGCAGAAGAAGCGCCGGCUAACUACGUGCCAGCAGCCGCGGUAAUACGUAGGGCGCGAGCGUUAUCCGGAAUUAUUGGGCGUAAAGAGCUCGUAGGCGGUUUGUCACGUCUGCUGUGAAAGCCCGAGGCUCAACCUCGGGUGUGCAGUGGGUACGGGCAGACUAGAGUGCAGUAGGGGAGACUGGAAUUCCUGGUGUAGCGGUGAAAUGCGCAGAUAUCAGGAGGAACACCGAUGGCGAAGGCAGGUCUCUGGGCUGUUACUGACGCUGAGGAGCGAAAGCAUGGGGAG
rnacentral:rRNA from 1 species